rnacentral:lncRNA from 1 species
CAAACGCUCUAAUUAUGCAGAACUCUUAUUUCAUUGUUAACCAAAGAAAGAUUCCAAGAAAAUACCACAAACUCUGUGUCUUUUUACCAUGCCCACAAAAUGUGCUUCGAUUUCUUCCUAUUUUCUCCAAGAUUGAGGAUUUGAAAUGUUACCCUUUAACAAAUAUACAUCAAAGAACUCAUUUGUUCGUGUUUUCAUCAUUGUAUAUGCAAAAGCAGAGACCAAAUGUUGUAGGCCUGGAUCCAGCAAAUAUAAUGCUGGUGUGUUGUUGGUAACAUAUCAAAAAAAUAGAAAUAAUUAUUCAUUAUCUUAUUUUCAUGUAUGCAUUCUGUUUCUUGGGUUUUUGACAGAAUUAGUCUCACCAAUAACUGAAAAGAAAAUGUUUCCGCAGAGAUUAUAAAGGUGUAUCUUGUAAUUAAGAUGGAAAUGUGGUGAGAAUUGUGUAAUGUAAUAAUAGUCCUUGUGGGGUUUUAUCUCCUGCCUUUUCUGGAUUAAAAUCUUUUUUGAGGAUAAUCAAUUUGUUUAGGAAUAAAUUACAAGGAAAUAUUCCUUUGGAGUAUGAAGGGAUUGAUGCAUUAUGGAAGAUUAAUUUAAGCUCCAAAGCUUUAUCUGGGGUAAUCCCAAGAUUUUCUUGGGGGACUCGCCAAAUAUAAGUUUCUUGAUUUAACAAGAAAUUGGUACAAUGGGGAGAUUCCUUCAGCUUUGUUCAAGAGUACAACGUUAGUUUCUUUAGCACAUAACAAUAUUUUGGGUGCAAUCUGUGUCGAUUAGUAAUUGUAAGAAUCCUGAUAGGAUAGAUUUGGCUUUUAGCAGUCUCAAUGGAGAAUUGCCUGAAGAAACUUGUGGCAUUUCAGUGGUAGUGUACUUCUUGGUGAGGAGUAAAGUGAUAUCAGGAAGUGUUCAAGUCUUCAUGAAAGUGAUAUCAGGAAGUGUUCAAGUCUUCAUGAUAAUGUUUCUGCGAGUAGAAGCUUGGAGCUUUGGAUCUUAGUAGCAAUAUAUUUACAGGGGCACACCUUUUGCGAUUCUUGGAUCGAUAAAUCUUACCUAUUUUAAUCUUAUGUGGAAGGGUUUCAUGGGGAAAUUCCGGAACUGUGAGUCGAAACAUCAUCACUGGCUGUUAUGUGUUUACAUCAACUUUUAUUAGGAUUCAACUGAAAAAACUCUGAAAAAUGCAUGCAGAGAUGUUUCAGGGAAUUCUUUGGAGGGAGGCAUUCCACAAAAUCUUGCCAACAUGACAUACCUCAGUAACUCUUGACCUACAUCAUUCUUUGGAUUUAUCAGAAGAUUUUAUAUUCGAUUCAAUUCCUUUUACACUCAAGAAUUUGAAAAACCUAACUCAUUUCGACGUGUUACAACAUUUCUGGUGCUAUCCAUUCGAUUCCAAGCAUGACUGAGGUUGUUUAGGCUCGAGUCCAUGAGUAACGGUCUGGAAUCAUAACUAGUGUAGGAUACAUUAGUUAAUUUGGUAAAGAAAUACACACAAUAUUCUUUUGCAAUUCCAAGCUGAGUUACCAUUAUCAACUGUACUCCUGC